CCUCCGAUUCGAUGGAAUCACGCGGAACCGCUCGCUCUCGGUAGAGAAACUCUAUCGUCUCUCCCUCUGUCGAACUACACCGCUUCUCCCUCGUCUCUCCCUCCGCCGAUCUGCGCCGAAUCAACAACACAGAAGAUGGUCGAGCGGCUGCGGGCUAGAGGGCUUGCACCGGGGCGGCCCCAUACCGCAGGAUUUGGAGCGGCGGCGGCGGCGGCUCCCGAAACAAGACGCCGCGGCGAUGCACCUCACGCUGCACCUCACGCGACGGCGGCAGGAACCUAGCUCGCCUCAAGCGGCAGCGAAAGGGGAAGCACCCGGUCAUGGAUGGUUCUUGCCAACGGCGGCGUCCAAUUUGGCAGGCAGUUCGACCUGUUCCAAAUUGUUUGUGCUGCUAUGCUGGGCGAUGCCAUACUAUCCUGGCGCCCCAAACUUUAGAUCCAUAUACGUUCAGUUUAUGCAUAGUGUUCAUGUGGUGAAGCAUGAACUAGAGGGGAAGAAUAUAUUUUGUCAUGCUUCACAUUGUAAAUUGUUUGUGUUGCAAAAUUUACCAAUUACAUCUCUUCAGUUCAUGCGUGUGACACUGUCAAAUUUAGAGGGGAAGAAUUUAUUUGUCAUUCAGUUCAUGCUUAUGACACAGUCAAAUCCGGUUGUCAUUCAGUUUAUGCAUAGUGUCAUAGUUUAUGUGCCGAUGCAUUGACAAAUUUACCGAUUCCAUCUCUUCAACCAAACGCACUAACAAAACCAUUCCGUUCCAGCUUUUGACACCAACCAAACACAUGACAGGAAUCGACCCAUUCCAUUGGAAUGGAACGGAACGGAACCAUUCCAUUCCAUUCCAUUUGGUUCCUCAACCAAACACACCGUUAAUAUAGCGGGUGCUAGAGCUGCACUUAACCUUGGUAGCACAAUGCUUGGGUUCUACCCUCUUAGAGUCUUGCCUUCAAAGACAACUAUCUUACCUGUGAAUCCAGAAAUUCUUCCGGUGGUAGGUUGUUUGAUGUUUCACCUUCUGCCAGCUCUAUUCUACUUUAUCCACAAUACUAACAACAAUAUCCUAUUCUUCCUGGCCCGUAGAUGGAGGAUUAGAAAGAAAUGGUCCUAUAAACGGUUUAUUGUAAGAUAUGGAUAAGAAGGUACACACUCAUGUUCUACUUUGACAUCGUAUUCUCUUUCAUUUUCUCAUCUUACAUUUUUUUUAUUUCAAGACACCGCAAUCAAAUCAGAUGUUUAAUUACAAUUUACAUGUUUUCUCUGCAGGUUACUCAAUUAGAUGUAAAUAGUUUCUUUGAAGAACUUUGUGGUGAGGUGAGUUAUGGCGCAUAUCCAAUCAUCGUGUCGCAUAGCUUCUAAGCUAUGUUGAUUGCCCUGGUGAGUGACAGUGAUAUCUUUGGGGAAGCUUCAGAAAGUACAUCAACUUCUGCAACAUCUGUAGCUACUGCAGAUCUUACGAGUAUUGAUCAGCUUCUCAAAACAUUAAUGAGCCAGGAUGAAGUUCGAGAAGUUGCAUUACACCAUGUAAAUAUUAAGGUUCCACUUUAAUGAGCUGUGGAAGACAAGUGCACCGGUAAGUGUUCGAAAUUUUAAGUGUGUCGGUGGAAGUGGAAGGGGGAUUGUGAGUUGGAUCUGUCAUUAACAGAGGUGGUGAACUUGGAUUGGUCAUGUAGACAUAGCUCAUGGAGAAAUAAGAAGAUGAUGAAGAGCGAUUUAUGGGUAAAAAAAUAUAGUGAAUAGAUUUGCAUGUGAAGUCAAGUGUAUAUGCCCAGACUCGAGCAGGUUCGCUAUUAUUGUUGUUCUUGUGUGUCAAGGCUUUUGGCUGCAGACUUGCAGGUAUACAUACGAGUCCAUGCUUAAUUUUUGUUAUGUUUCUUACUUACCACUGUUAUUUCUAGCAGAAGGGGCAGCUGGGGCAUGGGGACGCUCUUGCGUAACCUCUAGCUGUUGUUUCUAAACUAUGAAAGUAAGAGAAUCGUAUGCACUGCCCUUCAUUUUAAUUGUGUAAACAUGUGUGUAUCGUAUUGCUAAAUCCAUGAACAUAUAGCAUCCAACAUACUUGAACUUAAUAGUCCAACAACAUUACAUGUUUUCUCGACAUGUUUCCAAAUGCUAAUUAGAAGUUGUCAGUUCUGCAGAUACAACAUAAUUCCAGCAGCUGUUGGAAGAAAUCACACGGUGGUUGUAACUAGCGAAGGGGAAAUGCUUUUCAUUUGGUGACAACAUGCAUGGGCGGGAGGGGUUCACCAAGGAGUGGUCGACUCCCUCGUCUGUUGCUUUUUUUCUUUAUGGUUGAUAGAUGACACAACUACAGAAGUGCAGUAAAUACGACUUAUAUUGUCACCUGUUCUUACAACCUACCUGUUUGGGUGAUAAUGAAACCAAGAAAAAUAUGGCGGCCAUUAGUCAGGGUUUCACAAGUCAUGUAUAGAUCUUUUAGUUUUGUGGCCUACACGCUUAUGUAUAAUAUUUAUCUGUUGAUAAUCAUCUUUGUCAUAUAUUGUGAAGGACAUGAAAAAUGAUGUGUUUCAACAACCAUGAAGAGCAUUAGUUUGGUGUUUUAAAAAUCUUGUUAGUCACAAUCUUAUGACUGUUUUAGACGGAAAAAAAUCAAUUGACAAAUCUAAUGACUUCGUUUAUGCUAUACAGGUGAGUGAUAAGCUUGAUCAUCGGAGCUUGUGAAACCGUGUGAGAUUUUGAAUCCCCACAACAAGCCCGAGAGGCUGGCACUAAUCAUGAGGAUGGGGGCUGAGAAGAUGCAUGACAAGCUCCCCCAUAUGAUCAGAGUCGUGCGUUAAGCAGUGCUGAUUGUCACCUAGGUCAGCGAUCCCAUGCACCGGAACACCACCAGCGCAUCUUGCACGUUCAAGACAGGACCAUUCGAUGCAAUCCGGAUAAGCAUGAUAACUUUUUGCAUAAUUCGACAUAGAACAACCUACCUAUAUCUGAUUUUUCACGUCAGUUGUUAUGGAACCACAUGCCAUUUAGACAUCCAAUAGCAUUGUUUGGACUUGUCAACUUUGGCAUUGCAUGGUUCUGAAUUUUCACUGGUUGUGUAGGCUGAGGCUUUGUUUGAUGUCCAUGAGUGAGAGGGAGCUACCCUGGAAGGGUUCACCUAGAAAUGACAUGGCAGAACAUUACAGAGUGCAUUGGUGAAUCCAACACAAUGACCUGAAAUCAUCUCAUUUCCCGCUACCACACACACUGCGACCCCAGGCUGAAUGCGUCACAGUCGCUCGAGCUGACCUUCACCAUUUCCGAUAGGCUAAGGAAGAAGGACAUGGAAUAACCUCAUAUCUAGGGUACAAGCUUAAGAUAUCUAUCUUAUGUUUCUUCCCUGCAAAACCCUCUUCUGCUGCUAGAGGACAUAAUUUUACAUUCUUUAGUUUUUUUAGUAGUAUAGGUGGCGUUUGAUUUUGGAAAUACCAAGGAAAAAUCCCCCUCAAAUAAUAGGAUAUAGUUGUUUUGUUGCAUUACCAUUUGUGCUUAGUUCAAUUUCUUUUGUGUUCAUCCUUUCUUUGAUGCAGAUAGUGUGAGGGAGAUUACAGGAGACAUGACAAUAGAUUACUCAUUCUCUAUCCGCUGAGAUUGUACAUAAUGUUUAUUGAUUAAAUUUGGAAAUGUAAUCUGAGAAGUAAGGGCAUCUAUAGCGCUUCCCUAAAUUUUAAGUCCUCAAAAGACAC